rnacentral:rRNA from 1 species
UAGACGAUGGCAAAUUGGUUAAUAUUCCAAUACCAACAUUAGUGUGCGAUGGAAGGACGCUUAGGGCUAAGGGGGCUAGCGGAUGGAAGUGCUAGUCUAAGGUUGUAGGAGGUUAUACAGGCAAAUCCGUAUAACAAUACUCCGAGAACUGAAAGGCUUUUUGAAGUCUUCGGAUGGAUAGAAGAACCCCUGAUGCCGUCGAGCCAAGAAAAGUUUCUAAGUUUAGCUAAUGUUGCCCGUACCGUAAACCGACACAGGUGGGUGGGAUGAGUAUUCUAAGGCGCGUGGAAGAACUCUCUUUAAGGAACUCUGCAAAAUAGCACCGUAUCUUCGGUAUAAGGUGUGGUUAGCUUCGUACUAGGAUUUACUCCGAAAGCGAAGAAACUUACAACAAAGAGUCCCUCCCGACUGUUUACCAAAAACACAGCACUCUGCUAACUCGUAAGAGGAUGUAUAGGGUGUGACGCCUGCCCGGUGCUCGAAGGUUAAUUGAUGGGGUUAGCAUUAGCGAAGCUCUUGAUCGAAGCCCGAGUAAACGGCGGCCGUAACUAUAACGGUCCUAAGGUAGCGAAAUUCCUUGUCGGUUAAAUACCGACCUGCAUGAAUGGCGUAACGAGAUGGGAGCUGUCUCAAAGAGGGAUCCAGUGAAAUUGUAGUGGAGGUGAAAAUUCCUCCUACCCGCGGCAAGACGGAAAGACCCCGUGGACCUUUACUACAGCUUGACACUGCUACUUGGAUAAGAAUGUGCAGGAUAGGUGGGAGGCUUUGAGUAUAUGACGCCAGUUGUAUAUGAGCCAUUGUUGAGAUACCACUCUUUCUUAUUUGGGUAGCUAACCAGCUUGAGUUAUCCUCAAGUGGGACAAUGUCUGGUGGGUAGUUUGACUGGGGCGGUCGCCUCCCAAAUAAUAACGGAGGCUUACAAAGGUUGGCUCAGAACGGUUGGAAAUCGUUCGUAGAGUAUAAAGGUAUAAGCCAGCUUAACUGCAAGACAUACAAGUCAAGCAGAGACGAAAGUCGGUCUUAGUGAUCCGGUGGUUCUGUGUGGAAGGGCCAUCGCUCAAAGGAUAAAAGGUACCCCGGGGAUAACAGGCUGAUCUCCCCCAAGAGCUCACAUCGACGGGGAGGUUUGGCACCUCGAUGUCGGCUCAUCGCAUCCUGGGGCUGGAGCAGGUCCCAAGGGUAUGGCUGUUCGCCAUUUAAAGCGGUACGCGAGCUGGGUUCAGAACGUCGUGAGACAGUUCGGUCCCUAUCUGCCGUGGGCGUAAGAAGAUUGAAGAGAUUUGACCCUAGUACGAGAGGACCGGGUUGAACAAACCACUGGUGUAGCUGUUGUUCUGCCAAGAGCAUCGCAGCGUAGCUAAGUUUGGAAAGGAUAAACGCUGAAAGCAUCUAAGCGUGAAGCCAACUCUAAGAUGAAUCUUCUCUAAGCUCUCUAGAAGACUACUAGUUUGAUAGGCUGGGUGUGUAAUGGAUGAAAGUCCUUUAGCUGACCAGUACUAAUAGAGCAUUUGGCUUAUCUUUAAUAAAGCAU